rnacentral:rRNA from 1 species
GAUGAACGCUGGCGGCGUGCCUAAUACAUGCAAGUCGAGCGAACAGAUGAGGAGCUUGCUCCUCUGACGUUAGCGGCGGACGGGUGAGUAACACGUGGAUAACCUACCUCUAAGACUGGGAUAACUUCGGGAAACCGGAGCUAAUACUGGAUAAUAUAUUGUACCGCAUGGUUCAAUAGUGAAAGACGGCUUUGCUGUUACUUAUAGAUGGAUCCGCGCCGCAUUAGCUAGUUGGUAAGGUAACGGCAUACCAAGGCAACGAUGCGUAGCCGACCUGAGAGGGUGAUCGGCCACACUGGAACUGAGACACGGUCCAGACUCCUACGGGAGGCAGCAGUAGGGAAUCUUCCGCAAUGGGCGAAAGCCUGACGGAGCAACGCCGCGUGAGUGAUGAAGGUCUUCGGAUCGUAAAACUCUGUUAUUAGGGAAGAACAAAUGUGUAAGUAACUAUGCACGUCUUGACGGUACCUAAUCAGAAAGCCACGGCUAACUACGUG